GAGGGAGUGUGGUGAUGUAGUGUCCACAACUAAAGAAGUGGGGAGUGUGGUGAUGUAGUGUCCACAACUAAAGAAAAGAGGGAGUGUGGUGAUGUAGUGUCCACAACUAAAGAAGAGAGGGAGUGUGGUGAUGUAGUGUCCACAACUAAAGAAGAGAGGGAGUGUGGUGAUGUAGUGUCCACAACUAAAGAAGAGAGGGAGUGUGGUGAUGUAGUGUCCACAACUAAAGAAGAGAGGGAGUGUGGUGAUGUAGUGUCCACAACUAAAGAAGAGAGGGAGUGUGGUGAUGUAGUGUCCACAACUAAAGAAGAGAGGGAGUGUGGUGAUGUAGUGUCCACAACUAAAGAAGAGAGGGAGUGUGGUGAUGUAGUGUCCACAACUAAAGAAGAGAGGGAGUGUGGUGAUGUAGUGUCCACAACUAAAGAAGAGAGGGAGUGUGGUGAUGUAGUGUCCACAACUAAAGAAGAGAGGGAGUGUGGUGAUGUAGUGUCCACAACUAAAGAAGAGAGGGAGUGUGGUGAUGUAGUGUCCACAACUAAAGAAGAGAGGGGAGUGUGGUGAUGUAG